GGCCACUUGAACUCUGGUCAGUGGUACAGACACAGAAUACUAUAAGUGAGUGAGCUCCAUACAUCAGCUUUCUGGAAAGGGCACCAGCAGCUGAAGAGAGAGAAGGAAAACGGGAGGACCUGUAGAGGAUAGCUGCUGACCUUGCUGCAAAUAUGGGCUGUCUCCUUGUGCUUCGUGAUAAAGCUCUACUGGUGACUGUUUCUGUCUGUGUGGGCAAUGUUCUACAUCACUACUAGUUACAUCCUCUUCAGAGCUACCUGGAAACCACUUUCAGGGCAAACACCACGGUAUGCAUUCUAGUCUCUUUCUUCAGGGUCCCUUUUACUUCAUUUUUAAUUUGGGUUGAAGUUUUUAUUUGGUUGUGCUUGGUUUUGUUUGUUGUUCUUGUCUUAUUCCGAGACAAGAAUUCACAAUGUAUGCUAGAUAAAUGCCUAGAACUCACAAUCUUUCUGCUUUAGCCUCUCCCAAAGCUGGAAUUAAUAUUUUAUUUUUCCUAAUAUUUUUGGUGGUAAAAAUCAAAUGUUUAAGUGGGGAAAUGAUCUUGAGAAUAUUUCACAGACCUUCACUACCAUGCCUGGCUUCAACUCUUUCUUGUAAACAUUAAAAAGUACAUUUAAUUUC